CCUACGGGUGGCAGCAGUCGAGAAUUUUUCUCAAUGGGGGAAACCCUGAAGGAGCGACGCCGCGUGGAGGAUGAAGGUCUUCGGAUUGUAAACUCCUGUCAUUAGAGAACUAGUAUCUGAAGAGGAAGAGACGGCUAACUCUGUGCCAGCAGCCGCGGUAAUACAGAGGUCUCGAGCGUUGUUCGGAUUCAUUGGGCGUAAAGGGUGCGUAGGUGGUGGGGUAAGUCGGAUGUGAAAUCCCGGGGCUCAACCCUGGAACUGCAUUCGAUACUGCCUUACUUGAGUACUGGAGAGGAGAUUGGAAUUUACGGUGUAGCAGUGAAAUGCGUAGAUAUCGUAAGGAAGACCAGUGGCGAAGGCGGAUCUCUGGACAGUACUGACACUGAGGCACGAAGGCCAGGGGAGCAAACGGGAUUAGAUACCCUUGUAGUC
rnacentral:rRNA from 1 species